rnacentral:lncRNA from 1 species
CAUUAUCUAACAGAUUUUCUUGCAAAUUCAUUAAAAAUGAGUUUUCAAAUGGUUACUGUGUUUUUUUUUGUUAUCUGAUCUGAAGAAACAGGGAAAAGGAAGAACAAAGGGAGUUUUUGCGUAUCUUAUUCAUAACCAAAACUUUGUUCCAUACACAUGCAUGCAUAUUAUACAAAGAGAUUUUUUACAUACCUACGUCCACUUUUCGUAGUAACCAUGACCUUGGACAAAGAUAAAAGUGGAGGGACAGGGACAGGGACAGCAAAUAGCAAAGAGAGAAUGGUUUGGAGAUAGGGCUUUCUUUUGGAUGAUAUGGCACUGUGUGUUAGCUUUAAUUGAUUUUAUGACCGGCGAGAUUCAUAACACUGGAGGAGAUAACUCCCUGAUCACGUCAUGUGUGAUACACCCAACAUUUGAUUUUUUUUUUGUGUCUAAAAUUCCACCCAAGAUUGUUUAAAUAGAAUUGAAAAGGUAUGAAGGGCAAAGUACACAAUCUUUUGAAAGUUUAUAUAACGGUUUAAAACGAACA